GGUUUGUUAGUCAGAUGUGAAGCCCAGGGCUCAACCUUGGAACUGCAUUUGAUACUGGCUAACUAGAGUACGGUAGAGGAAUGGGGAAUUUCUGGUGUAGCGGUGAAAUGCGUAGAGAUCAGAAGGAACACCAAUGGCGAAGGCAACAUUCUGGACCGAUACUGACACUGAGGGACGAAAGCGUGGGGAUCAAACAGGAUUAGAUACCCUGGUAGUCCACGCUGUAAACGAUGAGUACUAGCUGUUGGAGUCUGUGUAAAGGCUCUAGUGGCGCAGCUAACGCGAUAAGUACUCCGCCUGGGGACUACGGCCGCAAGGCUAAAACUCAAAGGAAUUGACGGGGACCCGCACAAGCGGUGGAGCGUGUGGUUUAUUUCGAUGCAACGCAAAAAACCUUACCUGGUCUUGACAUCCUGCGAACUUUCUAGAGAUAGAUUGGUGCCUUCGGGAACGCAGUGACGGGUGCUGCACGGCUGUCGUCAGCUCGUGUUGUGAAAUGUUGGGUUACCUCCCGCAACGAGCGCAACCCCUAUUGAUAGA
rnacentral:rRNA from 1 species